UACAGAGGUCCCAAGCGUUUGUUCGGAUUCAUUGGGCGUAAAGGGUGCGUAGGUGGCGCCGUAAGUGGGGGUGUGAAAUUUCGGAGCUUAACUCCGAAACUGCAUUCCAUACUGCGGUGCUUGAGGACUGGAGAGGAGACUGGAAUUUACGGUGUAGCAGUGAAAUGCGUAGAGAUCGUAAGGAAGACCAGUGGCGAAGGCGGGUCUCUGGACAGUUCCUGACACUGAGGCACGAAGGCCAGGGGAGCAAACGGG
rnacentral:rRNA from 1 species